AUGAAACACAAAGAACUGUACGUGGCUGAACUCCUGAAGUCAGCAGGGACAUGCCAGGGUGGAUGUUAGCUUGAAAGACUGGCUUCGCAGUGUCUCCUCUGACUGACUACGAGGAAGUCUGUGCCUGGAUGUGAAAAGCAGGACCCGUGCUCAGGUGAGCCUGUGCUGCGGCGAUGAACCAGGGUCCAAUCCAGCAGAGGUAUGCAGAGAUGAUUGCGAAGUCCUGAGCAGCCUCAUCUCUUGCGGAGGCCCUGCGCGCUCCUGUGACAUGCUCAGCAUUGCUGCUGCACUCAGCUUCACCCCACGCACAGCUGUCUUGACCCUGCUGCCAUCUGAUGCUGCUUUUCAAAUUGCUAAAGUCAAAUUAGGAGCGCCUGGUGAGCACGUGCAGAGCCACAGGGAGUGCUGGGGUCCGUGGGAACCUGAGCCUGGCAGUGCUGUCGCUAGCUGGGAAGCUCUCCCUUCCUCUGGCUCCAGAGGCAUCCUCCAAAACCACAGAGAUCCCAAACACAACAGAAGGAGGGAACAAAGGGAGAUACAGUGUGGACGGAGGCAAGAGAAGGAAUGUUUUCCCUGGGAAUAG
rnacentral:lncRNA from 1 species